CGUUGAUACUGGGAUGCUAGAAUGCGGAUGCCGUGGGAGGAAUGUGUGGUGUAGCGGUGAAAUGCAUAGAUAUCACACAGAACACCGAUUGCGAAGGCAUCUCACGAAUCCGCUAUUGACGCUGAGGCACGAAAGCGUGGGGAGCAAACAGGAUUAGAUACCCUGGUAGUCCACGCUGUAAACGAUGAUGACUAACCGUCGGCGAUACACAGUCGGUGGCCAAGCGAAAGCGAUAAGUCAUCCACCUGGGGAGUACGACCGCAAGGUUGAAACUCAAAGGAAUUGACGGGGGCCCGCACAAGCGGAGGAACAUGUGGUUUAAUUCGAUGAUACGCGAGGAACCUUACCCGGGCUCGAACGGCAGGGGAAUGAUUCAGAGAUGGAUCAGUCUUCGGACUCCUGUCGAGGUGCUGCAUGGUUGUCGUCAGCUCGUGCUGUGAAGUGUCGGCUUAAGUGCCAUAACGAGCGCAACCCUUGCCGUUAGUUGCCAUCAGGGUUAUGCUGGGGACUCUAGCGGGACUGCCACCGCAAGGUGUGAGGAAGGGGGGGAUGACGUCAAAUCAGCACGGCCCUUACGUCCGGGGCGACACACGUGUUACAAUGGUGGGGUACAGAGGGAAGCUACCUGGCGACAGGAUGCAGAUCUCGAAAACCCAUCCCAGUUCGGAUUGGAGUCUGCAACCCGACUCCAUGAAGUUGGAUUCGCUAGUAACCGCGCAUCAGCCAUGGGCGCGGGUGAAUACGUUCCCGGGUCCUUGUACACAC
rnacentral:rRNA from 1 species